rnacentral:rRNA from 1 species
UUUAAAUUGCUGUAGUAUUUUGACUAUACAAAGGUAUUGAAAUAAGACUUUAAUUGAGUGCUAAGAGAAUGGACUUUCAAAAAAAUGCUUUCUUAAUUUUAAAAAUUGAAAUUAUUUUUUUUUGUGAAGAAACAACAAUAAAAAUUAAAGACAAGAAGACCCUAAGAAUUUUUAUAAAUUUAUUAUAUUAAUAUAUAAUACAUUUAUUUAAUUGGGGCGAUUUGAAAAUAUUUAAAACUUUUUAAAAACUAAUAAGAUCCAUUAAUAAUGAUUUUAUGAAAAAAAUACUCUAGGGAUAACAGCGUAAUAAUUUUAGAUAGAUCUUAUAGAAAAAAUAGUUUGCGACCUCGAUGUUGGAUUAGGAUUCUUAUUUAAUGAAGAAGUUAAAAAAAGAAGUUUGUUCAACUUUUAAAUUCCUACUUGAUCUGAG